UACCGCACGCAAGGACGCCCCGGCCAGCCCAGUUAACAACCUCCAAAGCCUCGCUGCAACCGACCCGGGGCGGAGGAGGCCGCGCCGCCUCGGAGGAAACCGCAGCUCUCUGCUAUCCGGAAGCCGUGGCCCGGGAGUGGUAGGGACUGAGCCUGACGUCAGCGGCGGAGGGCGGAGUCUGGCGCCAUCGUGCGCGACUUCCGGAACCAGGGAGCUCCUGCUUCCCUGGAUCGCACGGCACGUGAUCCAGGACGCCAGCAGGCCAGAGGGCGUGGCCGGCGGCGCAGGGGCGUGGCCACGCCUGGGGCCCCUCCUGGGCUAGUCCAGGCCCCCGCAGCGCGCUCCUGGCUGCCCCUCGCCGUGAUGGGAAAGUUCCUGAGGUUUACUCAUGGCUUACUCAUUCGCUUGGUUGAGGUCGCCAAGCCUGAAGACCCGCGCCGACGUCUUCCUCCGUCCUCCUUGAUCGGACAUCUGUGAACAUUAAGACUUGGAUUUGAACUUCAGUUUCAGAAUUUUAAGUGUUUUUGAAGAGUGCUUUAGACUUCCCGAGAGUCACUUUAGUGGCAGGCAUUCUUCGUUGUCAACUUGACAAUAAUUGGAAUGAGCUAUAAUCCAGAAAUAUAACUCAUACCUGUGAGAGAUGUUUUGCUGUGCUUGAAGUGUGAAGUGUGUGAUUCCACUUCUUGUCCAGACCUUUGAAGUAGGAAGACGCACCUCUGAUCUGUGUCUUGAGGCAGGAAGACCAUAGAUUCUGCUGGAACCCUGUAUAAGGACAUGGAAGAAGGAAGGUUUGGCUAUUUGCCUGCUUGCCCUUGCCUUGCUAGACAUCCAUUUCUUCACUGGCAUUGGAGCCAACUUUGGGAUUCCAGCAUAUACAGAAGACCAGCUGAGACACCCAGUCUCCUGAGACUGAGCAGCCACUAGAUUCUUGAACUUUCUAUUCAGGGCAGCCUGUAAGUCAUUAAAUUCAAUUCCAAACCCAUCCUCCCAUACACAUACAGAGAUUCAUUACAAAAGUUCUGUGACUCUGGAGAACCCUGACUAAUGCAAUCUCUAUAAAAAUAUUGCAAAGAUAACUUCACAGGUGAGAAAAUUGUUUGAAUAUUUUCUGACAUUCCAUGUUCAAAUUUACAAGUAUUUCCUAAAAUGUGGGUUUUUAUUUUUUGUUUUGUUUUGUUUUUCUAGACAGGGUUUCUUUGUAGCCCUGGCUAUCCUGGAACUCACUCUGUAGACCAGGCUGGACUUGAACUUGCAUAUAUCUGCCUCCCGAGUGCCAGAAUUAAAGUUGUGUGCUACCAAAACCUGGCUAAUAUAGUUUGAAUUUUAAGUAUUCUUCCUAUUGUAUGCUUGACAACUGAUGGGUUCUGGGAGAGGAACAGUUAUUGCCUUCAGUAGUGUACCUAUUAGUGGGCACAUCAGGCUCCAGUGAAUUGUUCCAAAUCCAUAGGCACAUAUAGAGUCCUGCAUGUAACUAAUGGAUCACAAAACAAAACAAAAAGCAGCAUAAAUUCUGGAAGGGCUCUGUGAAGAAGAAAUGGGGAUCAUGAGUGAGAAGGAAACAAAGGAAGGUAUGGGAGAGAGUAAACAGAAUGUAUUAAAAUGUGUAUGGAAGAACAAAUUUAAUCCAUAAAACAGUAAAUUAAAAAAGUUUCCUUGAGCAGUUUCAGUAACAUGAAUGGGUGUUUCAGGCUUUUUUUUUUCCUGAGUUGGAUGUGAUCUAGCUGGGUGAACUUUAGACAAGUUGUUUAACCUGUUCUGUCUUUGCUUUUUCGUAGGGCAGGGGUUUUGCAGCCCUGUUCUCUGACUCUUAAAAACACCCACCCACUGUUCCAUUGAGAUAUAUUUUACAUGCCAUAAAACUUCCAUUUUCAAGUAUUUAACUGAAUGAUCUUUAGUAAUUUUGUCAAGUGAUGCAACCAUCAGCAUAAUCAGUAUCAGAACAUUUUCUUCCCACGAAUAAGGUUUCAUAUAUGACCAGUCCCCACUUCAGCAUUUCCCAAACCAUUGUAUACAUUUUUGCCUAUGUUCCCUUUUUUGGACAUUUCAGAUGGAAUUGUAGAAUAUAUGGCCUCUUGGUUUUCUUUUACUCAGCAAAAUAUUCUGAGGUUCAUUAAUGAUAUACCACAUAUUCCUUUAUGUUGCAAACUAGCAUUGUAUUCUGUAUGAUUGUUGUUAUUGUUUUGUUCUCCCAAUAGUGGAUAGAUAUUAAUUUAGAUUAUUUCCAGCUCAAACUGUUAUAAAUGUGCUGCUUUUAAUUUAAGUAGCAACUGAGCCAAAGGAAAUUCAGAAGUAGCAGCAUGACAUUAUUGCCAGUCACCAAAAUGCAUCCAAAAACGAUGAAGGCAAAUAUACUCUGACUGAUUUGUAAUUGGUAGUUUUUCCCCUAACAUUUUACUAGCAAUAUGCUGCCUCCUUUUUGAGCAGCUUUAAUAGUUAGGCUUUAAUAAUUAAGAAUGUUAUCUAAACAUAAAAACUGUUUAGCAUGAAAUAAAAGUUUUUGUCGUUUU